GACGAACGCUGGCGGCGUGCCUAAUACAUGCAAGUCGAGCGCAGGAAACUGACGGAACUCUUCGGAGGGAAGGCAGUGGAAUGAGCGGCGGACGGGUGAGUAACACGUAAGGAACCUGCCUCAAGGAUUGGGAUAACUCCGAGAAAUCGGAGCUAAUACCGGAUAGUUCAACGGACCGCAUGGUCCGCUGAUGAAAGGCGCUCCGGCGUCACCUUGAGAUGGCCUUGCGGUGCAUUAGCUAGUUGGUGGGGUAACGGCCCACCAAGGCGACGAUGCAUAGCCGACCUGAGAGGGUGAUCGGCCACACUGGGACUGAGACACGGCCCAGACUCCUACGGGAGGCAGCAGUAGGGAAUCUUCCACAAUGGACGAAAGUCUGACGGAGCAACGCCGCGUGAGUGAUGAAGGCUUUCGGAUCGUAAAACUCUGUUGUAAGGGAAGAACACGUACGAGAGGGAAUGCUCGUACCUUGACGGUACCUUACGAGAAAGCCACGGCUAACUACGUGCCAGCCGCCGCCGUAA
rnacentral:rRNA from 1 species